AACGAACGCUGGCGGCAGGCCUAACACAUGCAAGUCGAGCGCCCCGCAAGGGGAGCGGCGGACGGGUGAGUAACGCGUGGGAACGUGCCCCUUUCUACGGAAUAGCCUCGGGAAACUGGGAGUAAUACCGUAUAAGCCCUACGGGGGAAAGAUUUAUCGGGAAGGGAUCGGCCCGCGUUGGAUUAGGUAGUUGGUGGGGUAAUGGCCUACCAAGCCGACGAUCCAUAGCUGGUUUGAGAGGAUGAUCAGCCACACUGGGACUGAGACACGGCCCAGACUCCUACGGGAGGCAGCAGUGGGGAAUCUUAGACAAUGGGCGCAAGCCUGAUCUAGCCAUGCCGCGUGAGCGAUGAAGGCCUUAGGGUUGUAAAGCUCUUUCAGUGGGGAAGAUAAUGACUGUACCCACAGAAGAAGCCCCGGCUAACUCCGUGCCAGCCGCCGCGGUAAGAC
rnacentral:rRNA from 1 species